AUUGGGGAAUUUUCCGCAAUGGGGGAAACCCUGGCGGAGCAACGCCGCGUGGAGGAUGAAGGCCCUCGGGUCGUAAACUCCUGUCGAUCGGGAAGAAUGCAUUCGGGUUAAUACCCCGUGGUGUUGACUGUACCGGUGGAGGAAGCCACGGCUAACUCUGUGCCAGCAGCCGCGGUAAGACAGAGGUGGCAAGCGUUGUUCGGAAUUACUGGGCGUAAAGGGCGCGCAGGCGGUUCGUCAAGUCCCGUGUGAAAUCCCCCGGCUCAACUGGGGAACUGCGCGGGAAACUAGCGGGCUUGAGUUCGGGAGAGGAAAGCGGAAUUCCGGGUGUAGCGGUGAAAUGCGCAGAUAUCCGGAGGAACACCAGUGGCGAAGGCGGCUUUCUGGACCGACACUGACGCUGAGGCGCGAAAGCUAGGGGAGCGAAAGGGAUUAGAUACCCCUGUAGUCAAU
rnacentral:rRNA from 1 species